CAUCCUGGCAAUGGGUAAAGAGACACCUUGUUAGUGGUGGUGUUCUUAUGUCAGCCAGGGGCAGAGCAGAUGGUAGUUCUCUGUUCAUCUUAUUUGAUGUCAAAGCUGUUUCAUGCCUAGGGUGCAUUU